rnacentral:rRNA from 1 species
UAGGGAAUCUUCGGCAAUGGGGGCAACCCUGACCGAGCAACGCCGCGUGAGUGAAGAAGGUUUUCGGAUCGUAAAGCUCUGUUGUAAGAGAAGAACGUGUGUGAGAGUGGAAAGUUCACACAGUGACGGUAACUUACCAGAAAGGGACGGCUAACUACGUGCCAGCAGCCGCGGUAAUACGUAGGUCCCGAGCGUUGUCCGGAUUUAUUGGGCGUAAAGCGAGCGCAGGCAGUUUAAUAAGUCUGAAGUUAAAGGCAGUGGCUUAACCAUUGUUCGCUUUGGAAACUGUUAAAAUUGAGUGCAGAAGGGGAGAGUGGAAUUCCAUGUGUAGCGGUGAAAUGAGUAGGUAUAUGGUGGAACACCGGUGGCGAAAGCGGCUCUCUGGUCUGUAACUGACGCUGAGGCUCGAAAGCGUGGGGAGCAAACAGG